rnacentral:rRNA from 1 species
AACGAACGCUGGCGGCAGGCCUAACACAUGCAAGUCGAGCGCGCCUUCGGGUGAGCGGCGGACGGGUGAGUAACACGUGGGAAUAUGCCUUUCGGUGCGGAAUAGUCUUGGGAAACUGAGGGCAAUACCGCAUACGCCCCUUGUGGGAAAGAUUUAUCGCCGAAAGAUUAGCCCGCGGUGGAUUAGGUAGUUGGUGGGGUAAUGGCCUACCAAGCCGACGAUCCAUAGCGGGUUUGAGAGGAUGAUCAGCCACACUGGGACUGAGACACGGCCCAGACUCCUACGGGAGGCAGCAGUGGGGAAUCUUAGACAAUGGGGGCAACCCUGAUCUAGCCAUGCCGCGUGAGUGAUGAAGGCCUUAGGGUUGUAAAGCUCUUUCAGCUGGGAAGAUAAUGACGGUACCAGCAGAAGAAGCCCCGGCUAACUCCGUGCCAGCCGCCGCAGUAA